rnacentral:lncRNA from 1 species
UCAAACCCAAACUAAGUUAAACUGAAUCCAGUUCAAUUAGACUUAAUUCAAAGCUCUUUGUUCAAUCAAAUUGAGUCAAUUAGCAAUCUAAUUGCUAAUUAAUUCUCUAUAAUAGUAGAGUCUCAGUCCAGUGGGACUCUCCUUUAGAGUCCCAAUUCCAGUAGGAUUCUUCACCAGAGUCACAAUCCAAUUGGACUCUUCAGCCAUC